rnacentral:lncRNA from 1 species
AGUAUUUUAAUACAAAAAACAACUGCUUAAAAUAAUUAAGAAACCGAACCACUCAAGACAAAACAAAACAAAACAAAACAAAAAUUAGCUGGGCGUGGUGGUGUGUUCUUGUAAUCCCAGCUACUCAGGAGACUGAGGCAGGAGAAUCCCUUGAACCCGGGAGGCAGAGGUUGCAGUGAGCCGCGAUAACACCACUGCACUCCAGCCUGGGUGACAGAAUGAGACUCCGUCUCAAACAACAAUAACAACCAAAAACGCAUUUUGAAGCUGGAGCCAAUGGGAGUUGCUGUUGGAUUGGAUUUGGGGAUGGAGUCUGAGAGGAGUCUGAGAUGGCUCCACAGUGUUUGGUCUGAGCAACUGGGUGAAUUAGGAACACUAUUUACUGAAAUGGGUGAGACUCAAGGAGGAACAGGUUUUGAGGGAAAAAGCAAGAGUUAGAUUGCUGAUAGUAAAUUCAAGACACCUGUUAGACAACCACGUAGAGAUGUCAAACAGGCAGCUGAAUGCGGAGGCUGGAAUGGGGGGGGAGGUCAGGGAUGAGACAUUAAUUUGGGAGUCACAGUGUAUAGAUGGUAGAAAGUCACAGGGCUGGAUGAGGUCACUUAGGGCGUGGCCUGUCUAGAGACAUUGGCCCAGACCUGGAGCGCCCACUGCAAGAGAUCAUGAGGGUGAGAAGGAUGCAGCCAAGACUAAGAAAGAGAGCCCAGGGAGGCUACAAAUAAGUCAGCAGCGUGCAGCCAGAUGAGAGUGUUUCAGAAGGAAGGAAUAUGUGGCCAACCAUGGCAAUGACAACCAAUAUGGAUGAGGAUUGUGAUCAACUGAACAUUGGAUCUGGUAACAAGUGUUUUUCAAAGGACAUAAAAGCCUGAUUGGAAAGCAAAUGGGAGGAGAGGAUGUGGGGACAGUGAGAAUAGUCAACGCUUGAACUCUUCUGUGAAUAGAGUCCGAGAAAUUAGGCAGAAACUGCAGGUGAUGCAGAGUCAAAGGAAGACCCUUUUGCAAGUGGGAAAUAUUGUAGCAUGUUUUGCUUGCCUAUGGGAAGGAGUCAGUAGAAUUGAAAAAAGGAAUGAUGCAAGACAGUCAAAGAAAAUUUCAGAACAAAUAACUCAGUGUGUCAAAUAUCUUGGAUCCCAGCAUGGGUGCUCCCAAUCUUCCCCAUCUGCUUCAUGAAAACCUUUUCCUAAGAGAGAUUCCCAGCUUCACCCCACAAUGGGGUGAAGACGCAUUGAGGACAGAGACCUCCCUGAUCUAUCUCUAAUGCUUUGGCCUCGUCAUAGGUACAACGAAUCUCUGAAUUCUGUGACAAGCCUGGUGGCAUCUAGCUGAAACAAACACAGAAAGAAAUGUACAACUAGAUCUGACAGAAGAAUAUCGUUUACUCAUCUUCCCCUUUUUCCUACAACAGGUUGGCUUCCCUAGUCUGUCCUAUUUGACAGCGUAGAGGAUCAUUUUUUAUUCUGAUAGCACUUGUAAGUUCAGGGGGUCCCCAAGACUAUCCUUGGGUUUGACAAUUCACUGGAAGCACUCACAGAAUGCACCAAAACUGUUAUGCCCACUGUUUUGGUUUACUAUGGUGAAAAGAUACAGAUUAGAAUCAGUGAAAAGAAGAGACACAUGGGGCAGAGUCCAGGUGUAUCAGUCUGUUCUCAUGCUCCUAAUAAAGACAUACCCGAGACUGGGGAAUUUAUAAAGAAAAAGAGGUUCAGUGGACUCACGGUUCCACAUGGCUGGGGAGGCCUCACAAUCAUGGAGGAAGGUGAAGGAGAAGCAAAGCCAUGUCUUACGUGGAGGCACGAAAGAG